rnacentral:rRNA from 1 species
CAAACUGAAGAUGGCGACCGGCGCACGGGUGAGUAACACGUAUCCAACCUGCCGAUAACUCCGGAAUAGCCUUUCGAAAGAAAGAUUAAUACCGGAUAGUAUACGAAUAUCGCAUGAUAUUUUUAUUAAAGAAUUUCGGUUAUCGAUGGGGAUGCGUUCCAUUAGUUUGUUGGCGGGGUAACGGCCCACCAAGACUACGAUGGAUAGGGGUUCUGAGAGGAAGGUCCCCCACAUUGGAACUGAGACACGGUCCAA